CAACCCUCAAGCCCCCCCGGGUUUGGUGUUGGGGAUCGGCGAGUCUUAGGACCAGCCGCCCCCUAAAUCUAGUGGCGGUCUCACUGCAGCCUCCAUUGCGUAGUAGCUAACACCUCGCAACUGGAACGCGGUGCGGCCAUGCCGUUAAACCCCCAACUUCUGAA
rnacentral:misc_RNA from 1 species